GGGGAGAUCCAGGAUCUGUCACUAUCUUUGGAGAAUCUGCAGGAGCAAUCAGUGUUUCUGCUCUUGUCCUGUCUCCCCUGGCCAAGGGGCUGUUCCACAAGGCCAUUUCAGAGAGUGGUACUGCAGCCAUGGGCUUGUUCACUGACCAGCCUAACGAGGAGGCACAA